rnacentral:tRNA from 3 species
GAGCCGCUAGCUCAGUUGGUAGAGCAUCGCCCUUUUAAGGCGAGGGUCGAGCGUUCGAGCCGCUCGCGGCUCACCA